GCCGGAAGUUACUGCUAUCGAGGUUCGACUAAGCCAUGCGAGUCGAAUGUAGCAAUACAUGGCGAACUGCUCAGUAACACGUGGACAACCUGCCCUUAGGACGGGGAUAAACCCGGGAAACUGGGUAUAAUACCCGAUAGGUCUCGAUUGCUGGAAUGCAUCGAGAUUUAAAGCUCCGGCGCCUAAGGAUGGGUCUGCGGCCUAUCAGGUAGUAGUGGGUGUAGCGUACCUACUAGCCUACGACGGGUACGGGUUGUGAGAGCAAGAGCCCGGAGAUGGAUUCUGAGACACGAAUCCAGGCCCUACGGGGUGCAGCAGGCGCGAAAACUUUACAAUGCUGGCAACAGCGAUAAGGGAACCUCGAGUGCCAGGUUACAAAUCUGGCUGUCGAGAUGCCUAAAAAGCAUUUCAUAGCAAGGGCCGGGCAAGACCGGUGCCAGCCGCCGCGGUAACACCGGCGGCUCGAGUGGUAACCGUUAUUGUUGGGUCUAAAGGGUCUGUAGCCGGCCGGAUAAGUCUCUUGAGAAAUCUGGCAGCUUAACUGUCAGGCUUUCAGGAGAUACUGUCUGGCUCGAGGCCGGGAGAGGUGAGAGGUACUUCAGGGGUAGGGGUGAAAUCUUGUAAUCCUUGAAGGACCACCAGUGGCGAAGGCGUCUCACCAGAACGGACCUGACGGCAAGGGACGAAAGCUAGGGGCACGAACCGGAUUAGAUACCCGGGUAGUCCUAGCCGUAAACGAUACUCGCUAGGUGUCGGCCACGGUGCGACCGUUGUCGGUGCCGUAGGGAAGCCGUGAAGCGAGCCACCUGGGAAGUACGGCCGCAAGGCUGAAACUUAAAGGAAUUGGCGGGGGAGCACCACAACGGGUGGAGCUUGCGGUUUAAUUGGAUUCAACGCCGG
rnacentral:rRNA from 1 species